CGCCCCCAGAGCUGCGCCCCGCCGCGGCCUGAAAGCAGCCGGAGGCCGAGCGUGGCGGUGGGGGAUGUAUGCGUCUUCCAAAAAGGUGCUGGAUUCCAUGCCAUCUGCAGCGCUUUCUAUCCGCUUUACAUCUCAUGCUAUCUAGGAGUGGGCAGAACAAGAUGCUUAAAACUUAAAUAAGAAUACAGUCCUAAGUAGGAAAAGAAAGCAUUCAGACCUCUUUCAAAAAUAUUUAUUGCAUUUAGCAUUUACUUUUUCCUAAUUAGAGAGUUUCCAAUAAGUGCUCACAGCUGGCACGUUCAGACACGUUUAUCACAUUACUCCAUGACAUCUCAGAAAGCAAACAGAAAAGAUCUUAAGAAGAAGGAAUAAUGACACAAGAGGUAGGUGAAGAGCCUUGUACUGACACAGCUUUAUACAAAGGGGACAAAGGAUAAUACAAUCAUAUCUGCAAUGACUACUAAUAGUCACUUAUUUAAGGUGGUUAUAUCAUGAUUCAUAAACCACGGUUUGGCAUGACUGCUACAGCUCCAUUUAGUUAAAAAACGCAGGUUUGCCACAUUAUACAGACCAAUAAUGGUGUUCAUAGACAAUGUUUCAGCCCUCUGAAGGGCUCUUUUCAUUCUUCUACACAGGCCUCGUUCAGAUGCCAAGUCAGAAGCAAUGCAGAACUACAGAGCCACUGGGAAAUCAAGCAUUUAUCUUCCGUGAACAAAUGUUAACUGUUAACUCAGAACUCCACGUCACAAGUAAUAGGCAGCCCUGAGUCAGCCAGAGCAAGGACUGUGCUAAGGUACAGAUUUCCCCCCCCCCUUUUUUUUUUUAAACUGAAGAAGCCCGUUGCUCUCUGUCAGAUCAUUUAAUGUAAAAGAAAAAAAGGGUUUAAACAAAUAAUCUGGGCUAUCUGAAUUGCAAAACAAAAGUGAUCUGAAAUAGUUUAGCAAAAUUAAAGCUUUUUAAUUCAUCUCAGUCAUGCUUGAAUGGAAUGAUGAAAACACAGAGAACUGCCCUCUUUCCUGUUAGCUCAAUGUAGAGAACAAGAGGUGACAGGAGAAAGCGUAGUUCAACUUACAAUUCUGAUGUUAGGAAAGUUGCAAAAUGUCUUUCAAAAUAUAUUUAAAUAUUCCUUAUAUGUCAAAGUGCUACUCUGACUAAAAUCAGGUAUCCUUGAAAAGCAUCAUUAAAGCACACUUAACAACCAGAAUGAAAAAAAUCCCCUCGAGAAUGACCUGCAUCCACAAGGACUGAAUACGUAUUUUCACCAAAAUCCUUCUAAGACUUCUGUGGUAACAGAAAGCACGCAAGCUAUUAUCCCUUCCCCCUCCUUUCUCACAUGAGGCUUCUGAGGGAGACUGGAAUGACUUGAGAAUUAGCGCCACCUUCAGAGACAACAGCUUGUGUAAGAGAUGCACUUAAGCCAUCUUUCUAUAUAAUAAAUACAAUAUAAAUCUGCAAGAUACACAAAUAAAAAAGUCUGACACUGAAAUACACCUUUCACUAAGAAUCUUACGGCUUGUGACAGAUGUAGUUUAAAACCAUCUAUCCAUGAUUUAGUUCAAUUAUUCUUUUCCCCCCAGUUACUAGGCUUUCCAGUAUAUGACAUUGGUGAGGCUGUAAUUAGGCACUGAUGCCCUCUUCUCCUUUUGACAGUGAGGUCAUUUCGUAAGAUCCCAUUACCACCAACAUUUCAUCUAACUUUGAAGUCCGACACAAACUUACUGUUGAAACGUCCUAAUGUGCCAUUAGAGCAUUAAAGUGUGUGGAGCAAUAAACUUGCCAAAACAUGUUAACCCGGCUAUAGACUAGUUGUGUGCAAUUUGGAAUAUAGCUACUGUUUUCAAUGCACAGUUCCUAACAGCAAGUACGUAUUCUUCUUCACUUGUUCUCUGGAAAGGAAGAAGAAAUAUCCUAAGCUACGUAAAGUUACAAAGAAGGUUACAUAUUACUCUAAAUAGUUCUAAACUUUAUGGAACUGAAAAUUCUAAAUUGAACUGAGAAUGUGCAUUUUAAAAUUCCAAAACUUCAGAAGAUUUCUGUAUGAUUCAGCACUAAAUUUCUCUGCAUCCCUCUCUGUUACUUUCCAGUAGAACACAGCUUUGCCAUACUACAUAAACCCAUCAAGAGUAUUUAUACAAUCCAGAGUCUAUCCACAUCAGUUUUUAAUGACACUUUCUCCAAAAUACCUUUGUCACUUCUGAAUGUUUCUCCCAUUGUAUAACUCGUUUUAUAAAACCUCACAUCCACACAUACAGAGAUCACCAUCUCAAACAACUCCAUUUCAGUGUCACACAGUAAUAACAAGUUACCCAUUAGCACAUAUAUACACAUACACGUAAACUCAUGAAACCUCCAAACUGAAGGCCAAUGAGCACUCCAACUUCUAUAGACAGAGCUCAAAUCAUAGUCUAGCAACACAAAUUCUACCUCUAGGAAGAAGUGCAUAAGGUGAACCCCCUGUAAUACUGUUACUUUUCACAAAGCAAUUCAGAAAUAACUUUAUUAAAGUAUGAAAUUCUAACUCUAUUGUUUUUAAAUAUUAAAAUAUAUUAAAUUAUUCUAUAUAUUUAAAAAUAUAAGGUUGACAAGUUAAUUUGAGUUCAAGAUAACUUUGGGACCUCUGCUUUUUGUAAACAUCCCCCUCAUCAUUAAAUGAUGAGCUGGAAAAGGUCAGAGGAGAAUCAUUCUUUAGUACACAAGAUUCUCACGCUGUGUAUGUCUUCAGGACAGAAGAACUGUUUUACAGUGUAUUCAUUCACAAGAACUAAUACUAAGGAAAUAAACUUUUAGGUAACUAUUUCCAAAAGAAAUAGUACUACUGCAACAUGAAACUGCAGAACCACUCAGCCACUGGAAAAAAAACAAAACCAACAAUCUCAUUUGAGAAUUCACCCUAUACAGAGGACUGUCUAUUCUAAAGGACACUAUGUACAUAGGAAGGAACAGGACAGAUACUCACAGAAGUCCAAUCGUUCCAUUAUAAACGCGAGUUUACUGAGAAGAAUACUUUUUUGAACUAGGAAGAAUUUGAAACAAGAUGAUUGGAUUGGAAUGCUUAGCAUCUAUCCUAGGACCCACACAGAACCAGUAAAGAUCAGGACGGUUUCCAGGUUUGCAUGUUCAUAUGCAUUGCAUUAGGGAAGCAUUAAACAAGUUGUCAUAAUGUCCACUUAACUAACUUUAAUCCAGGUCAACAUCAAAAUUGAAAUAGGAAAAAAGCCUUAAAAUGAAGUGCUCACAUUUGUGUUCUGCUUUCAAAGCAAGAUCCAAACAUGAUGUAAUAGAUCAAAGGCAACUUGAAAUCAGUAUUACCUCCUGAAAGAGAACAUCCUACAUACUAACCUCUUUGAAACUACGAUACAGACACUAGUGUAAGUACCUGGAUCUUGAGAUGAAAGUCUCUGAAUUGCAGACAAACUCCCAGAGACAUAGGCAGUUCAUCCCUUAUCUGACAUGGAUAUCUGUUCCCCAACUAUUAAGUAUUUAUUAGAGAUUCUACAUGAAGUGGUCAUUAAUAAACGUUGACCAUGAACCAAGCUAGACUGCUACCAAUCCAUGCCAGGUAUUAAUCUAGUUGAAUGCAUUUCCUAAGUUCAAGAGAACUGUAGAACACUAAAUGGAUCUGACAUUUUAAAGAUAAAAUUGUGAGCAUAUAAAAAAAAUCUGAACAUCGAAUAUUUGCUAAAACAUUAAAUUGCUCAGCUUCUGGAUGGAUUCAUUUGUGUGCAUCUGUCCUUACAGGGAAACAGCAAUGCUCAAGACACUUCACAAACUUUUGCAGGCUAUCAAUCAGUGCCUAAUUGUUGCCCUGGAAUCCAAGAACACUUUUUGUAUAGGCUACUUUACUACCGUUAUGGGGUGAGAAGGAAACCUUUUAUAUUGUUUUUUGGUUAAGUUAACACUGCUAUCAAGUGCCAAGCCAAGAGUUUUAGAAAUGGAUGCUGCAUCUACAAGGAUGACACAGUUAUAGUAAGACUACCCCAAUCUCUGCAAACAAAUGAUAUUAUGGCUAAGAUACCUAUGCCACUGUCAAGCUCUACUGAAAAUACCCAGAAUUUCUAUUGCUGAUAACUUAUAUUUAUAAAAAAAACAAAACCCAAAAAACUAGAACAAACUCAUUUCAUCCUGGUAGCUGCACUAGCCUCCAUUUACUGAAGCAGAAUCUGAAAUUUGCAGCUUAAAUUUAUACAGGUCUGAUAUCCGUCAUUUACACAGUUUAGUUUCCACUGUAGCUUAGGCUUAAACCCUUUGGCCAACAGACAGAAAUUGAGAGAACUCCAGAUCUGUGUUCUGAGAAGUGGACUAGAAGACAAAGCUCAAGCUCACUCUAGUGAGGUAAAUGAGUACUGCUUGUAUUAGAUGUGAACAGAAAUAAGCAUCUCCAUACAUAUAGUAGACUGCAUUAUGUGAUUGUUAAUAUUCAAACAAAUUAAGGUUUCUAUGACAACCAAGAAAUGCACUUGACCAUUUACAGCAAAAACAGAUCAUGCACUUUAUACAAUAACAAGUAGUUUAUGGCCUUGCCUACCUGCAAAUGAAUUCCUUCAGCAGGUACACAACAUAUUGCUUGAAGUCAUAAAAAUAUAUAUUAUCUUUCCUUUAGCAUUUAGAUAUAUAAAUAUUUUACUGAAGAACAUGCAUCAUUUAGAUAAACAAUUGUAAGAACAUCCUCUAAACAUGGGGUUCUUUGACAUUUGGCUGUAUAAAAAGAUUACACAAAGGUAGCUACUCAAAUCAAGACAAACCAAUACAGCAGUGAAGAGUCCAUUGUGUGCCAGUCUACAGUUAAGCACCUCUUGCAACAAGUUAUGUAAUAUAUACACACAUGAACGCAUCAUAAAUGGAGAAAAUAGCAUAAAUCCAUCUGUAUAUUCUUCAGUCUUGUUUGGACUCCCAACUUACUGUUCACUUUUCUGCUCUUGUUUUCCAUUCAGCUCUUGGUCAACUUGUUUUAUGCAUUCUGGGAUGCCAACAUAUUCCAUGGGGAUGAGUUCAGCUAGUUCUGCCAGGGUAAAGACAUACCUAAUUUUCUGGCUGAAUUUUGAGCUAAUAAAAGGUUUUGUGAUGGCCAGAAGCGUUCUGAUGAACCAAGAAGGAUGAACUAUGAUUAAUGACUUCAGAUUUUUCCUUAACCUUCUGUCAAUUUGCUGGUAACACUUCCUAAGCCAGCCUAUGCUUGGCAUUUUUCUCCGUGUUGUCGCACCAUUUAGGUACACUAUCAUAUAAUUCUCAGCUACUAGUAGCUCUAAAGUGCCAAUUACAUACUUAAAUAGAUUGUCCAUUAGGUAUCUGUAGUUAGGCUGGCUGCUUUCAGGCAUAAAACAAACAGCAAACACAACAAUGGCAUUUAACCCAUCACCAUAAUAACCACCAUGACUGAUAACUUUUUUAUACGGUUCGAUUGCCUUCAUGUCCACCCUAUGGUCCUGUUCGCCAAUCCUAAACAUACGCCAGCGUCGACCAUCCUCUUUCUCCUCUGCUGCUGUAUAUUCAGUAAGUGAUCCUUUUCUAAUUACAUCAGUAGUUUUUGGCUUUGGAAGAUCAUCUUCCCAUUCAAACUCAUUGCUAUUCUCUGAAGGAGUAUCUAUGUCAUCCAAAUCAAUGUCUCCGCUCUCAUCCAAGUCAGACAAAACAGACUCCUCGCUGCGAUCUAAAGUUAAGCUAAUAUCUGGAGCCGUAAGUUUCUUCCUCACUUUGGUUCCAUUAACUGCUAUUUCACCUUCUGUUCCAGCUGCAGCCAAUAUAUCUGAGUCAACAGGAUCAUCCUCUGGCAGGGGCCUUGGAAAAUCUUCAUCUUGCCAUUCUUCCUUAAACUCAACACCUUCCAUUCUCCAGCCAACUUGAACUGUUAAUAGUUACUCCUGAUCAGCCAGAACCUCUUGUCUUCUGGACAGCAGGCUGAAGAGCAGCUAGAGGAACAUAAACAGUUCAGUAUUACAACACUGCAUCCUGUCACUUACCACCCAGUUGAGAUACUGUGUGGAAAAAAACAGGGAACUGUUAACAGUUCAUCCCCUCUCACCCCAUCCCAUCCCCACUUUUUUUUUCCCCAAAUGCAAAACUACUUA
rnacentral:lncRNA from 1 species